ensembl:lncRNA
CCUAAAGCCACUUCAUGGGAAACUGCGAGGAGAGGUCAGAGAAGGAGAGAAGCUAAGCUAAAAGAAAUGGGAGGGAAAAAGAGAGAUGAAGACAGCUGCUUGUAACACCUGAUCGAACAAAUGAGUGAAGAACACAACAGUCUAUUGUCAGAGCCUCAAUAGCAGAUUAUCUUAAGUCUGGAGCUGGAGUGGCAAGAGAUUCCUCAUCUUCUGAGAAAGCCUGACAUAUUGAACCAGCACCACGCUAUAACUGCCUUGUGAUGCUCUGGGAGAAAAGUGGAUCAAUAAGGAGGAUCAGUCAAGAUUUUGAGAUCUGUGAAAGUUCAUAGGAGCCUGAGAAAGGCAAUUAAAUCCUAUGUCACACAGCAAAACAUGUAAGCAGAGGAAAGAAAAAGGUGUAAAUCUAAUAUCCAAGGUUCUAUAGUGGAGUUCAUGUAUUCUUAAGUGUAGUACCAUCUCCAAUUGGGGCAACAUUCAUUUUAAAUGUAAUUCUGUAGAAAUUUAAAGAGAUUGUCUUUUCUAGUAUCUUUUCAAUGAUCUCUUUCCCACCUCCCCUCUCUUCCCCAGCAAUAAAUGAAUAAAUAAAUAAAAAAAACAAACACAUUUCUUCCCAUUUCUCUUUCACCUUUGACAAGGUCAUUUUCAAACCUUGUGACACACUGAGGGCAGGUUCUUUAGGAUCCCAUGGAACUCUGCUGCAAAAUCAGCAUCAGCCAAAUCACAGUGCAAGUCUGUCUUGGUACAGCACAUCUGUCCUGCACCAAAACCAUCAGAACAGACAGUUGCCUUUCAAAGCUGCUGUAUGACGGCUUAGUACACAAUUGACGGCUUACUGCUCUUGACAUGGUCUUUUCUAUUGCAAAGCUUACACUGAGUGCAAAGGCUAUGAGAAGACUACUGACACAUUUAUACAUGGGUGAUUAUUUUCUGCCAAAUUAGAGAGGUCAACUGUCCCCUCCACUGAGUAUGCAAAAGGGGAACACAUAUGUGACCCUUCUGAA